rnacentral:rRNA from 1 species
GUCUAUGACCAUACCACACUGAACGUGCCCGAUCUCAUCUGAUCUCGGAACCUAAGCAGGGUCGGGCCUGGUUAGUACUUGGAUAGGAGAAAUUGACACAUGCUAAACGUGAGUGAACCUUGAAGACAUGCU